rnacentral:rRNA from 1 species
UGCGAACUCCUACGGGAGGCAGCAGUAGGGAAUCUUCCGCAAUGGACGCAAGUCUGACGGAGCAACGCCGCGUGUGUGAAGAAGGUCUUCGGAUCGUAAAGCACUGUUAUUAGAGAGGAACAACCGGUAGAGUAACUGUUACCGGCUUGACGGUAUCUAACCAGAAAGCCACGGCUAACUACGUGCCAGCAGCCGCGGUAAUACGUAGGUGGCAAGCGCUGUCCGGAUUUAUUGGGCGUAAAGGGAGCGCAGGCGGUGACUUAAGUCUGAUGUGAAAGCCCACGGCUCAACCGUGGAAGGUCAUUGGAAACUGGGUCACUUGAGUGCGGAAGAGGAAAGUGGAAUUCCAUGUGUAGCGGUGAAAUGCGUAGAUAUAUGGAGGAACACCAGUGGCGAAGGCGACUUUCUGGUCUGUAACUGACGCUGAGGCUCGAAAGCGUGGGGAGCAAACAGGAUUAGAUACCCUAGUAGUCCAGAUG